AUCUUGAAAAUUAAAGAUUUUGGCGGUAUUUUAGUCUAUUCAGAUUACUCUGUUUUGUAAUUGAUAAUCCACGAUUAAUACUACUUUGUUUAUUAAUUUAUAUAUCGUUGUAAGAAGAAUGUCUUAGAGAAUAGUGUUUUCAGAUCAAGGUGUAGUUUAUAAUAAAGUAAAAAUGGGUUACAUUAAAAAGUUAGGGAGAAUUGGAUUUGAUAGUAAGCUCUAAAAUAUGCACAUAUCGCCCGUCGCUUUCGCUUUAAGGUGAAAUAAGUCGUAACAUAGUAGACUUAUUGGAAAAUGAGUCUAGAAUGCAAAUUAGAGCUUGAUAAGCAUUUUAUUUACAUUAAAAGGUUAAUUGUGAAAUUCAAUUUAAUUUGAAUAUAGAAUUUUAUUUAAAAUAGUAGGGGUUUAAUUUUAAUUAAAAAGUUAAGUUUUUUAUUUUUUUAUAGAAAAAAUUUUAUAAUAGUUUAUAGUAUUGUGAGAGAAGAGUAAUAUAUUGGUAAAAGAAAAUUUUAUUUGUUGUACCUUGUGUAUCAGGGUUUAUUAAUCUAUAGUUCUCGAAUUUGGAAGAGUUAGUUUUACUGUUGAAUAAGUAUUUAAAAUUUUUACUUUGUAAUGAAAUGUUAUUCGUUUUUAAAUAUAUCUAGUUUUUUAAGAAAUUAAUUUAAUUAAGGGGUUUUUAAUAUAAAAAUAAAGGGAUAAGCUUUUAAAUAAAUUUUUAAAAAUUUUUUUUGUUGAAUAAUUUAUAGGAUUAGAAUUUUCUUUUUUUGGUAGAAUGUUAUAAUUAGUUAUUUUAGAUUUAUUAUUAAAAUUUUUGAAUUAAUUGUUAAUUUUAAGGAAUAAUGAUAGAAUGAGUAAAAUUUUAUUAAGGAACUAGGCAAAUAUUUUUUCACCUGUUUAUUAAAAACAUGUCUUUUUGGUAAUAAUUUAAAGUCUGACCUGCCCAAUGAUUGAAUGGCCGCAGUAUAUUGACUGUGCAAAGGUAGCAUAAUCAUUAGUUUUUUAAUUGGAAGCUGGAAUGAAAGGUUUGAUGAGGAAAAGGCUGUCUCUAUAAUUUUAUUUUUAAGUAAGAAAGCUUAAAUUUUUUAAAAAGACGAGAAGACCCUAUAGAGUUU
rnacentral:rRNA from 1 species